rnacentral:rRNA from 1 species
AAAUGACUCUCGGCAACGGAUAUCUCGGCUCUCGCAUCGAUGAAGAACGUAGCGAAAUGCGAUACUUGGUGUGAAUUGCAGAAUCCCGUGAACCAUCGAGUCUUUGAACGCAAGUUGCGCCCGAAGCCGUUAGGCUGAGGGCACGUCUGCCUGGGCGUCACAU